AGACUCUUGUAUAUAUUGCUUGUUGAUUGAUAACUUGAAAGAGAGAAUGGUUUAUGGCAUCAAGUGCGUCUGUGUUUUCAUUGCAUUGCUAUGCAUGACAUCCAUUUUGAAUCCAGUUGUAGGAAUUGAUGCAACAACAACUAUAAAUCCCUUUGAGUUUUGCAUUAUGCACGGGCCAUGUCCAAAUAUUAAUGAUGAAGCAUGUAGUUAUUAUUGUUCCUGGCUGCGUCCUUAUGGUGGCAUGUGCGUUGAAAAUGAAUGUUGUUGUUAUAGACGACAUCGCAGUUAAUAUGAUUUAGUAUAUAUUGUUUAAUUAAUGUUAUAUAUUUGUCCAAAAAUUAUAGUAGUUAAGGAGGUAGAGAAUAUAAAAAAUUGAAUACAUCGAUUUUAGUUUUAAAUUUCUUAUUUUAUUAUUUCGUUGUUUGUUUACAAGAUUAUAUCAUUCAUUUGUUUUAUCAAAAUUGUAUAUAAGAAAAAGGAGUAUAUCUAAUCUUUAAGAA